GUGCCAGCCGCCGCGGUAAUACGGAGGGUGCAAGCGUUAUCCGGAUUUACUGGGUUUAAAGGGUGCGUAGGUUGCAAUAUAAGUCAGUGGUGAAAGGUCGUAGCCUAACUACGGAUGUGCCAUUGAUACUGUAUAGCUAGAGUUGACACGAGGUACUUGGAAUGCGUCAUGUAGCGGUGAAAUGCUUAGAGAUGACGUAGAACACCAAUAGCGAAGGCAGAGUACCAGUGUUUGACUGACACUGAGGCACGAAAGUGUGGGGAGCGAACAGGAUUAGAAACCCCAGUAGUCC
rnacentral:rRNA from 1 species